UGCCAAUGAUGAAAAAAAAAUCACCAUCUUUCGACUGAAUAAUCGUGAUGUUUUCUUCACUUUGACCUGAGGCAUGUC
rnacentral:snoRNA from 1 species